GAUGAACGCUAGCGGGAGGCUUAAUACAUGCAAGUCGAGGGGUAACAGGGGCUUCGGCCCGCUGACGACCGGCGCACGGGUGAGUAACGCGUACGCAACUUACCUCCAAGCGAGGGAUAGCCCUGGGAAACUGGGAUUAAUACCUCAUGUGAUUAUGAUGCCGCAUGGUGUUAUAAUUAAAGUUCAGGCGCUUGGAGAUGGGCGUGCGUUCUAUUAGCUAGUUGGUGGGGUAACGGCUCACCAAGGCGACGAUAGGUAGGGGGCGUGAGAGCGUGGCCCCCCACACGGGUACUGAGACACGGACCGACUCCUACGGAGGCAGCAGUAAGGAAUAUUGGACAAUGGGCGCAAGCCUGAUCCAGCCAU
rnacentral:rRNA from 1 species